GAUGAAGAACGUAGCAAAAUGCGAUAAGUAAUGUGAAUUGCAGAAUUCAGUGAAUCAUCGAAUCUUUGAACGCACAUUGCGCCCGCCAGUAUUCUGGCGGGCAUGCCUGUUCGAGCGUCAUUUCAACCCUCAAGCACAGCUUGGUGUUGGGACUCGCGUUAAUUCGCGUUCCCCAAAUUGAUUGGCGGUCACGUCGAGCUUCCAUAGCGUAGUAGUAAAACCCUCGUUACUGGUAAUCGUCGCGGCCACGCCGUUAAACCCCAACUUCUGAAUGUUGACCUCGGAUCAGGUAGGAAUACCCGCUGAACUUAAGCAUAUCACUAAGCGGAGGA
rnacentral:misc_RNA from 1 species